AACGAACGCUGGCGGCAGGCCUAACACAUGCAAGUCGAGCGCCCCAGCGAUGGGGAGCGGCGGACGGGUGAGUAACGCGUGGGAACGUGCCUCUUGCUACGGAAUAGCCUCGGGAAACUGGGAGUAAUACCGUAUGUGCCCUACGGGGGAAAGAUUUAUCGGCAAGAGAUCGGCCCGCGUUGGAUUAGGUAGUUGGUGGGGUAAUGGCCUACCAAGCCGACGAUCCAUAGCUGGGUUUGAGAGGAUGAUCAGCCACACUGGGACUGAGACACGGCCCAGACUCCUACGGGAGGCAGCAGUGGGGAAUCUUAGACAAUGGGCGCAAGCCUGAUCUAGCCAUGCCGCGUGAGCGAUGAAGGCCUUAGGGUUGUAAAGCUCUUUCAGUGGGAAGAUAAUGACUGUACCCACAGAAGAAGCCCCGGCUAACUCCGUGCCAGCAGCCGCGGUAAGGCACGACUGU
rnacentral:rRNA from 1 species